rnacentral:rRNA from 1 species
GACGAACGCUGGCGGCGUGCUUAACACAUGCAAGUCGAACGAUGAAGCCGGAGCUUGCUCCGGUGGAUUAGUGGCGAACGGGUGAGUAACACGUGAGCAAUCUGCCCUUGACUCUGGGAUAACUGCGGGAAACCGUAGCUAAUACCGGAUACGACACCUUGGGGCAUCCCAGGGUGUGGAAAGAAUUUCGGUCAAGGAUGAGCUCGCGGCCUAUCAGCUAGUUGGUGAGGUAAUGGCUCACCAAGGCGACGACGGGUAGCCGGCCUGAGAGGGUGACCGGCCACACUGGAACUGAGACACGGUCCAGACUCCUACGGGAGGCAGCAGUGGGGAAUAUUGCACAAUGGGCGAAAGCCUGAUGCAGCAACGCCGCGUGAGGGAUGAAGGCCUUCGGGUUGUAAACCUCUUUUAGCAGGGAAGAAGCGAAAGUGACGGUACCUGCAGAAAAAGCACCGGCUAACUACGUGCCAGCAGCCGCCGCAG